GCUGACACCAACUUCUGGACCCAAUGCACGACCAAUGAGAUAGUAAGGGCCACCACCCUUCAUGGCACCAUUGCUUGCAAUAGCACUUAAUGAUAUCGUGGUCAGGAAUGUACAUGAUCCACAGAACACAACCAGCAACAAUGACUCGCCAAUGCCUGCCAUACCAACAAUCCACGAAAAUCUAAUGUAGUAGAUGAUCCCCAAAAUAUUUUGCAAGCAUGGCAUAAACACUCCCAUCAGCGUGCCAG
rnacentral:misc_RNA from 1 species